GCUUACGGCCAUACCACCCUGAACGCGCCCGAUCUCGUCCGAUCUCGGAAGCUAAGCAGGGUCGGGCCUGGUUAGUAUUUGGAUGGGAGACCGCCUGGGAAUACCAGGUGCUGUAAGCC
rnacentral:rRNA from 15 species